rnacentral:lncRNA from 1 species
GAUACUUGGCCCUUUAUGUUUCUCAAUAACAUUCUCUCUUUGAAACAAAUCCAUUGAGCAACUUGUUUAUAUAUAGGAAAGCAUACUCUAUAUUACUUGGGACUUAAGAGGGAAAUCAAAAUAGAAGGAGAAUGUUGUAUUCUUAUUUUGGCAACCAAGCUGUAGGCCUUUUCCGGGAUUGCUCCAGCAAUUUAAUAAUAGUUGAUGUUAUCAUAUGCAAAAAUUCGUUUGGGGGUGCUGACUUCUUCUUCUUCUUGAUCAGCUGGUGGUCCGCUUCAUUUCUUUGUUUAUUGUAUGGACUAGAAAGGUAAAUAAAAGCUUCCGUCCUUAGAAACAUUCUUCAUGCAAAACUUAACUGAAAUUUAAAAAAAAAAAAAAAAAAAACUUAACUGAAAUUUGAAUUUUCCAAAAUCCUGAAACAUUUUACUGUGCUUACACUUUCUGGCUCAUGAACUCUAAAGAGUUGACACAUACUUGUAGAGUACUUGGACCAUUGGCAUCAUCACACUUCACAACAGAGGUGCGUACGAGGGAAACCAUCCAUUGAAAUCACUGUUCUAAAAUACACACAAUGCGGUCGUCUUAGCGCCAUAUAUAUGCUGUACGGGUGCAUGACGUACUGAAUUUGGUGGUUCGGUUUAUUUAUAUGGCAUAGUCUAUUUUAGAUAUUAUGAUUAGUAUUAAUGAAGAAAAUGAUUAUAAUGGACAUGUCAAAUAUUCAAAUUACUCUAAAAGUAUGCGUGGAUUCAUAUUUUAUAUGAACUUAUGAAGGCUUGCACUAUUUUCAUUUUGUUGAAGUAGUUGUAUUUUAUUGUUCAUUUUUUUUGUUCAACAUAUUUAAACGUAUAAUGUAACUCUUUGGUUCACAUCUGUUUUCUUUUACAAAAAUAAAGUCAUCUUAAUAUAAAUUCAGAAUGCUACUAUUUAUUGUAGAUAAGAAAAUAAUAAGAACUGUAUAAAUUUAUGAUAAAAAUAUGGAUAUGCCAAUUUACUUACUAAAUGUUCUAUUUUUCUUUGAAACAUUUACCGGGGUAUGCAUAAACCUCCGCAUAUAUAGCUAAGCACUUUACGGUAGUUCACCGUAAGAACGUAUAGCGUAUUUUAAAACACUAGUUGAAAUAGUCUAUGGUUUCGAAUGUUACGAACCACUCCGUUCCGCAUUGUAGUUAACAGUAACAACAAUCUCUACAUAUAUCAUAUAUCUAUACGUUUUUAUAACUGUUAAAACCGCAUCGCAGUUGAACCGCUUGUUCUGUACCGCUCAAUCCGCAGUUACCAUUCGGAGCCUAUAUUUAUGAAACAACACAUUAUGAUUUGUAUUCAAGACAGGCACACGUGUAACCUAACCAGAGGCUUGGUCCGUCUCUUUUUACUCCACGUGUACAUUCAUUAAUUUCCGUGCCUCUCUCAAAGUCUCGACUCUGGUAAUAAGAGUCUCACUUGGUCGCUGAUUUUUCCUCUCUCUCUCAUCAGAUCAAGAAUCAUCAAAUCAAGAAUGACAAGCGAGGUGAGAGAGAAGAAGAUCAAGACCAAUGGGAUUUGGUUAAACGUGGCUGAGAAAGGAGAUGAGGGAGAACCUUUAGUUCUGUUACUCCAUGGCUUCCCUGAGACAUGGUUCUCGUGGCGUCACCAGAUCGAUUUUCUGUCAAGCCAUGGUUACCACGUAGUUGCUCCAGAUCUCCGAGGCUACGCUGACUCCGAUUCUCCUCCGACCCAUGAGUCUUACACUGUGAGCCACCUCGUCGCUGAUGUCAUCGGUUUGCUCGAUCACUACGGCACUGCUCAGGUGAAACUGAUCUCUCAUCUUAUCAAAGAUUCCAACGGUUAGAUUUAGAUCAGUAUAUGAAAAUAUUUUACGUUUCUCAAUGUUAUAGGCUUUUGUGGCUGGACAUGACUGGGGAGCCAUCAUAGGUUGGUCUCUGUGCUUGUUUAGACCAGACAGAGUCAAAGGUUUCGUAAGUCUCUCUGUUCCAUAUUCUCCAAGAGAUCCAAAUCUCAAACCUUCGGACUUGUUCAAAAGCUUUGGAGAUGGGUUAUACAUCACUCAGUUUCAGGUAUUUAAAAAAAAAAAACAAAAGUAUUUUCAAGAUUUGUGGUGUUUCUAUUGUCAUCGUCUGAUUCAGUUCCUUGGUUCUGUCUUUACAAGGAACCUGGAAGAGCUGAGGCUGCAUUUGCCAAGCAUGAUUGCUUGACAGUUAUGAAAAAGUUCUUGCUAACAACAAGAUCAGAUUUCUGGGUGGCUCCUCCUAAUACAGAGAUCAUCGAUGAUCUUGAAGUUCCAUCGACGCUUCCAGAUUGGAUAACUGAAGAAGAGAUUCAGGUUUAUGCAGACAAGUUUCAAAAGUCUGGGUUCACAGGCCCACUGAAUUACUACAGAGCCAUGGAUCUGUAAGUUUUACUUCCAUUGAUUCAGUCGAAUCCUUUGCUGUUACUAACAAAGUGUUGAGGAAAUUACAGGAACUGGAGAUAUUGGCGCCGUGGCAAGGCUACAAGAUUGUUAUUCCAACAAAGUUUAUCGCAGGAGACAAAGAUAUAGGAAAUGAAGGAGCUAAUGGAACGAUUAAGUAUGUGAAGGGAGAGAUGUUCAAGAGUAUUGUACCUAAUCUUGAGGUUGUUGUUAUUGAGGAUGGUCAUCAUUUUAUCCAGCAGGAGAAGUCUGAACGAGUCUCACAGGAGAUUCUUUCUUUCUUUAACAAGUUAAGAAACAUAACAGAGUAAUGAUCAAAGCCAUUCUAUGGCCUUAUCAGAAAAACUAUGGUGCUAGUAUUAAGUACACUAGUGAUGUAUGUCCAAGAAUAAUGCCGAGUGAAAAAUAAUGGUUGAUAAAGUAAAAGAUAUAUCUAUAAUUCUCUAUGUGCAAUACUUGUUUGAAGAAACUUGGAAGGUUUACACAUAGGUAAAUUUCAAAUGAAUUAUCUUACUCUUUAUAUUCAUUCAUGUGUUUCUUGUUCCAUAAGCUUCUCCGCAUUUUCUUUUGAAUCAUGACAAUGACAAGCUAGACGCCACAUGUAACCUAAACUGGAAGCUGUUGCCUGUUGGAAUAGACUAAAAUCUGAAUCAUGAGAGACUGAACCAUACUUUGUAAAACAAAAUCUACACCUAUUUAAGUUUUGGGGUGGGCAUUUCGAUUUUGUUUGUUCUUUCUGGGUCUUUGAUUGAAAUCAACCGAAGUUAGUUUGGUUUGAUUUAUUCGGUUCAGUUUAAUUCGAUUUUGUUUGUGACUAUUCAGUUUAGUCGAGUUGUUCUUUUUGGAUUUGUUCUAAUUCGGUUACAAAAAUAUAAUUUAUAAGAAAUAAAAAUAUUAUUAUUUCACACUAAAUUAUUUAUUCAUAUUUAAACAUAAAGCCAAACAUAUAAUAAAAACAUAAAAGAUGUUAUCCAAUCAUUUUCUAUUAUUAUCUUGAAACUUAAUAUAAAUAUUACAAGUAGUUUUUUCUGUUUUGAAGACGAAAUCUUAUUCUUUUAUUUUAUUGUUAAUGGUGUGUCUUAUAUUUAUUUAAAAGUAAAAUAUAUAAAAACCAUGUUUAGUUGUUUAGGUUAGAUAGUUAAAUAUCUUAAAUUUUAAUAGUAUCACUACUAUUUAGUUAGUCUAAUUAUAUAAACAUUUUGGUUUUCAGUUUGACUCGGUUUAAAGCCAAACCAAACUAAAUCAUUUGGAUAUAUUUUGGUUUGGUUUGGUUUGAGUUGGUUUAGGUUCAGUUGGAUGUUCAGGUUGUUUGCCCAUCCUUUGAGUAUUUCGUAAAUUAACUUGUUUAGGCCGCCUAUGGGCCUUUUGCCACAGCCCAUAAAGACAAGGGCCUGAAACGAAAGCACUAACGCAUAUUUCUCUGGAUGUUCGUUCAUCUUCUGAUUUUAGGAUUUUUUUUAUUUUUCCGUUUCGUACAGUCAGAUCAUCGUUGGGCUGUAAAAGAUGGAUCCGGACGCAGUCAAGUCGACCCUCUCGAAUCUGGCGUUCGGGAAUGUAUUGGCAGCAGCUGCUAGAGAUUAUAAGAAGGUAUAUCAAUUUAAUAUCGGCUUAAAUCCAUCAACAAAUGCUAUUGAGUAGGCUUUUUAUCACACAUAUAGUUAUGAGUAAAUCAUGAAGAAAUGAUUUAUCACUUUCUGAUUGUUUUUUUUAGGUGUUUGGCUACACACAUUGAGUAUUUUGUAUGUUGCAGGAAGUGCUUGCAAAUGAGAAGGCCCAAUCAUCAAAUCAUGUCAAUGAGGAGGCUGAUCUUGAUGAACUUAUGGAUGUAAGUGCAAAUGUUUCUUCUUCUUGAUUGAGAGAUUUAUGCUACUGUCUCUAACGGUAAGACUUUCUCAUUGUUCUGUAGGAUCCGGAGCUAGAAUGAUAGGAUUGCUGCACUCAAGGUAAACAACUCUGGCAACACCCUUCUCUCUUUAGUUAUCAAGCUGUUCAAUAUUUCUUGUUUACUCUUGUUUGUAUGAACUUAACCUCCUAGUUUUGAUCUGGACAGAGAGAAGUUGAGAAGAGAGAAGCGUUCAAAAGACAAGGGCAUGGUGAGUAUCGAGAGGUGAGCGAGGGAGAUUUCUUGGGGGAAGUCACCAGGAGUGAGAAAGUGAUUUCUCAUUUCUACCACAAGGAGUGUUACCGCUGCAAGUAAGAUCUACCCAUCAACUCUCUCAUCUGUAACCUAUAUCCACUCUGCAUCGUUAUGUAGGAUUAUGGACAAGCAUCUCAAGACUCUUGCGCCUAGACAUGUGGACACUAAGUUCAUCAAAGUGGACGCUGAGGUCAGUCCAACCACUUGAUUCAAAGAUAGAAAAAUUGGGUUUGAUGCUUGCCUAACAUAAAUGCAGAAUGCUCCUUUCUUUGUCACGAAGCUAGCAAUAAAGACAUUGCCUUGCGUUCUGCUUUUCAGGUUUCAUCUCUUUCCAUUCAUUCUUACAUUACAUGGUUUGUUUCUAGGUUUUUUACUCUGACAGAAUAUGACUAUCAUUUUUUUUUUUAAUCAUUCUCAGCAAGGGAAUCGCUAUAGAUAGGCUAGUUGGGUUCCAGGAUUUGGGCACAAAGGACGAUUUCAGCACUACCAAACUGGAAAACGUUCUGAUUAAAAAAGGUAAGGAGCAUCCACCUUUUUCAGUUCAGUUAGAGUAUUGUUGCUUAAAAUGUGCAAACCAUUAAACAGGAAUGCUCAGCAAGAAGAAGAAAGAGCAGGAUGAUGAAGAUGCUGAGUACCAAGAGAGCAUAAGGCGGUCGGUUAGGUCUUCAGAGAAUCUGGACUCUGACUCUGAAUGAUCAAACCACCUUACAUCACAGAGUUGUCUCUGUUUUGCCUUUGUUAUGUGUUUAUUAGGUAAUGAAGCUUCAUAGUUACAUCUUAACCAUCAAAUGCUUGCAUGACAUUGUAUGUUGCUAUGUGUAAUACCACCAUUUUCUUGUUGCUGUUACAUAAAUAUUGACUUGUUUUUGGCUUUAAAAAAAGCUAGAAAACAGAUGUUCUUGAAUCGAAAGGAUAUAUGUUAGAGAUAAAAGAUCAUGCAGAGGUUUAGUUAACAUACUUUUUUCUUAAACAAGUUAUGGUAGAAAAUAUCUUGUUCAAUAAUAAUAAAAAAAUUACUAGACAGAACAAACAUGUGAAAAGAUCAUUCCUCACAAAUAGUAAUUUCUUCGUCAAUCUCAUCUAUUUUUUCUUGACCUUUGAAUUUUUCCCCUUAGUGGUCUUUUUCUUGUUCUCCAAAUCAGCCUCUUCAGUUUUGGCCUUGUCUUGUUCGUUCUUGAUCUUCUUGGCUUCCAAGAACUCAACCAACCCCUCAAGAAUACUAUCAACAGACUCAUUCCUCAUAAGUUGUUCAGCUACAUCUGCUGGAGUAACCUCUGUCGCUUCGAUACCUUCCACGAUCUUGCUGAAAAGAGGGUGUUCUUUUAUCUCUAGAUAGUUCCAAGCAAGAGCCUUGAAAGUACUCGGAGUGCAGUAUGACAUGUGGAUGUGCACAUCCAUACGUCCUGGCCUCAACAACGCAGGGUCUAGUUUGUCUUUGUAAUUGGUUGUGAAUAUUAUGAUCCGUUGGUCGCCGCAGCUUGACCAUAAACCAUCAGUGAAGUUUAGUAGUCCAGAGAGUGUCACUUUCUUGUUUCUUGAUUCCUUAGGUUCAUCAGUUGUCCUGUUAUUCAACGUGAUGGAGCAGUCGAUAUCUUCCACCACAAGAAUUGAACGAUUACCAGUGUCAAUCAACAACCUUCUGAGCUCGGAAUUGUCUACAACAGCAGUCAACUCUAAGUCAUAAAUAUCGAAGUUGAGAUGGUUAGCCAUGGCUGCAAUCAAGCUUGACUUCCCUGUCCCUGGUGGACCGUAUAACAAGUACCCUCUCUUCCAAGCCUUACCAACUCUCUUAUAGUACUCACUCCGUUUCACAAACUUGUCAAGAUCUUCCAUCACACUUCUCUUGACAUCUGAAUCCAUUGCUAGUGUCUUGAACGUAGAAGGAUGGGCAAGAGUAACAGAGGUCCAUGAGUCCCCCCAGUACCUUGUGUCGAGAGUAAAGAGCUUGAGUUUCUUCUUCUCGUGCUUCAUUAACCUGGAUCUUUUCACCAUGAAUGGCAAGUAAGAUUCAAGAGCUAUGUCCUUGAAUCUUUUGUCGAAGUUGAGCUCGAAUGAUUUGACAUCAAAACUGGAUUUGGAGUAUUGAUUCUUUGUCUCAACAUGGUGGCUACGUAGGACCCAUUGGAAUUGGACGCCAUUGAAAACGUCCACAACUUGCUCGUCACGUCCUACAGAGACGUUGUAAUUGGAAUCUUUCUCGUGUUUACUCACUUUGAUUCUUUUGUUAGAUUGAGAGAUCUUGGUGGCUACGUAGGCCUUUGCAGCAUCAAAUACUUCAUUGUGAUUGUACCCUUCAAACUCUUCGAUGGUUAUUGUCAUUUGAGAGGAAUUAAAGUAAUGAGCCAUGGAGCGUUUAACGAAGCUGCGGACUUCAUAGGAGAUGUAUUGUCGCACUUCGAGAGGCAAGUAGCUUUGGGCUAACGAUCGAGCCAGCAUUGCAGUUUCAGCCACCGAAGCUGCAGUGGUUACAACCGCUGGAACUCCCAUGGACUCGGUUUUUUCUAGGAUUUUUGCAAAUAUACUUGGAUAUAUUGCAGCACGACGAACUGAAACAAUCCUAGGUUGUUUUGGUCCUCCAAGUGUCGUGUAUCUACCGGUAUCCAUAGGUAAACAAACUGGGUAAGAACGGGAUGUUAGUGCCAUUGAGAUCGGAUCUGAAAAACAAUAUGAUGAACGAGGUUGGUUUCUCUAGGGUUCUAUAGUAACUUGGGCGAGGAGAAAAGUUUCUUUAUAAGCAAAGCGCUCUCUGUCUAUCAUUAACAUGACUCUAAAAACAUCUACUUGUGGACAAAAAAAAAGUAAAGAAUGACAAAAAAGGAAAUAACACACAAAAGCGGUAAGAAACUGACGUAAAAUAGAAAUUAAAGAAAAGGAAGAAGUUUCGUUAACAAAUUUUUAUUUUCUAAAUUAUUUUUCUGAUUUAUAUAAAUUCAGUAGUGGCAUAUAUGUAAUAGUUACAAAAAAAUGUUCUUUAUAUCCUUUGUUUUGUGAGGAGGUUCCAAACUCCAAAGCGUGCAUCACCAAAACUGAUAAUUUCUGAAGGGAUAUAUGGAAAUUUCAUUAUAAAAUUUGUAAUAUAUAUCUUAUAUAUUAAAACAUAACUCACAACUUUGAUGUAUUUGUAAUAGACCUAUUCCUAGAAAGUCAUAUUACAUUUAAUCUUUAAUCUUAUCAUUUAAAUUUUGAGCCUCCCAUAAAUUUUUAUUAGGCUAUCAAUAAUUGAAUUUAAACAAUAUAUGAUCCAUUAGAUUUAUACAUAGUAUAAAUUAAAUAGAUAUAAUUUAAUGUUACAUCCAUAUGUUAAUUAUUUAAAUAUUUAUCGAUGUUAACUUUUAAAAUUAUAAAUAUUUUUUAAAUAAAAAAAUCAUAUUAUCUAACAAUGAUUAAUCUUUACUACCUUAAACCAAUGAAAACAAAUGAACUAUAUAGUUUAUUUUAAAAAUUAAAUAAAAACUAAAUGUUUAAUUAUUUACUCGAUAAUAUAAAUCUAUGAAGCGAAAAGUUAAUUUUUUAAAAACUUUCUAAAUUUGUGAAAUGUUACAAUAUUUUUGAAUAUGGCAAUAAAACAAUAUUUUACUAAUAUAUAUAUAUAUAUAUAGUUACGAAAUAAUGAAAUAAUAAUCCGAAAAUAUAUAUAUCGAAGAAAAUACAAAUAUAUGUGAAAGUUUAAAACAAUCUUAUUCAAUGAAAAAAUAUAUUGUAUACUUAUUAUGCUUAAAAAAUUGAUAGACACAUAUAUAUUAUAAUAUAUACCAAUUUAGAAUUAAAAACAAAAUAUUUAUAUAAAAAUAAAUGAAAACAAAAAUCUGCGCGGUUGCGCGGAUCGAGAUCUAAUGUUAUAUUUAAGAUACAAUAUCGCUAUUUAGAUUUUACCAAUAACAGCGACUUGUGUAAAGCAAUACUAACAAGUAUUAAUUCAGUUUUAAAGAUGAAAAAAUCAAAUUAAGGAAGAAAAACAAUUCAAUGAUAUUACAAUUUAGUUCGUUAAUAAUACUUGCUUACAUUGUUCAAAAAAUUGAUUACAUUCAUACAUUGCAUUCUGGAUUUUAGUUCAAUUAAUAUCCAAUACAAUCAUUUGAAUAAAAGACCGACAAAGUCAUCAAAAAGUUAACGUUACAACCAGCUCACAAAAAGACACUAGCAAGUAAAACAGGACGGAGUUGAUUGGCGCAAUGGUCAGUAUUCCUUCAGGUUAUAUCUCUCAGGUGGUGGAACUCUGAUUUGAGAGCAAAAAAAUAUGUGAUCUAGGCUAGAUCAAUGGCACACGACUAAGUCACAUAUAAAUAUCGUUUGAUUGCAGCAUUUCGUUUAUAUCAAAAAUAUAUUGUUCUUUAUACAUAAAACCUUUAAAAUGAUAAGAGACAAACCUGACCAAACACACACACACAUAUAUAUAUAUACAAGAUAUGAGCCCGUUGCGUUGUAACGAGUUUUGUUUGAUGUUUUAAUUUAAUAAAAUCAUAAAAUAAUAAAUCAUUUUAUUAUAGUUUUAUGAUUUUACAUAUGUUGUUUGAGAUUUAUUUUAUAAUUAAAACUCGUUUUCACACAUAAGUUCAAGUUAAUAUUUGUAUUUUAUAAUCAUGGUGCAUAGAUGAUUUGUUAUAAACUUUGGACUUAGGAUUAGAGAAAAUACUAUACCUAAACGUUUAAACUGAACACAACCCAAAAUAAGAAACUGAAUGAAAAGUAAACAGAAAUGAAAGUCAAAUACACCAGUCGAGUCAAUGACAACAUUAUACAUCUUCUUAUGUACUAAUUUAAUGUUUUAUUAAAUAAGUCUUUAAAUUUUUCUUUUGUUAGGACUUUUUUAAAAAAAUGAAAACAUUAUAUUUUAUAAAUCUCCUUUUUAUUUACAAUUAAAAAGUAAUAUUAAAUACUCUUUUACCAUUUUGUUUAAGAUUUUAGAAAAUGAAAGUUACUGUCAUAUAACCUAUUACAACUAUCUUCUCUUUAGAAUUUCAGAAAAAAUAAAUUGCUAUCCAAUAAUUAUUUUUAGUUAUUAAUAAAUAAUUUUUAAAUUACUAUUUUUACAAUUCGUAUCAAUACUAAUUUUACACUACUUUUUUUUAAUUUAAUAAUUUUUAGUAACAUGUUCAUAAUCAAAUACUCUCUUAAAAAUAUUUUCAAAUAAUUUUUUCCAAUUCUCUUUUGGUUAGGGCUUAAAAAUAUGAUACACAUUUUUUUUCUUUAGGAUUUGUUUUUAUAAAAAAGGAAAACAACUAUCAAAAAUUCUUUUACAAUUUUUUUAGGAUUUUAUAAAAGGAAAUUAAUAUUACAUAAUCUUUUACAAUUAUAUUUUGUCUAGGAUUUAGAAAAAUAAAAUUUCUAUCAAAUAAUUAUUUUCGGUUAAUAUUAACUAUUUUUAAAAGUUGCCAGUUAAUAAAAUUUGUUUUUGUUAAUAUUUUAGUAUAUAUAUUUUUAAUUAUGAGAAAGAUUAAUAUAUGUUACAAUCUUAAAAUAUAUAAUUACCAUGUGUCGCGAUCAUGUUAAUUAGUAACUUUGAAGAACCAAAUUUUAUAUAAUAAGAUAUAUAUAAAAUAGGAACGCAAAGCAAGUAAAACAGGACGGAAUAGACUGAGGUCGAAAAAAAUCAUGAAGCUUAAACUUUCUGGUAAUAAUAUAUUAACACAGCAAUACAUACCCUUUUACUUUCUACUCAACGAUACGACAAAGUUGACGGUCGUUUUGUUGCAGCUUCUUGCAGCAAUGUAGUACUUGGCUGCGUUGUGUGCGUACUUCUCAAACAGACGGUCGAUGAUAGCAUCUCCGAAAUGAGCAACCAACAUUGUAACAGUGAUGAAUCUUUUUCUGCUUGCCAUCAUUUCCCCAAACUUUAAUCGACAUGUUUCAUCGUCAUCUUCCUCACUAUCUUUGUAUGGAACUAGAUGUUCAUGUGUCUCGAUGAUAUUAAUCUCAAAUGAUCCUUCUUUUUGAAGAAUUUCCCUGACCUCUUCUUCACCCGCAUCAUAAAACGGCAAGUUGAAUGAAUCAACAUCAGAUUCCUUAACAAUUCCCUAUACUCACAAGUCACAAAAUAUAUGCAAGAAAUCUUACAAUAAGGUAUGAUUUUGUUUGUUAAAAAAAACAUUGAUUUUCUAUAAAUUGCGUGGUACUCUCCACUUAUUAUCAACUGAUAUUGAACUAUGAACUUCAUUAUAUAUAUAUAUAUAUAUAUAUAUAUUCUUACAGUUUUUCUUUUUAAAUGGAGCUAUAGACCAUCCAAUGUAUUUUGCUAUUUUUAUCUAAAAUAAAAAAUUAUAUAAUAGAGAUAGAGUUUACUCUAAUGUAAUAUUCUAAAAUAACAUUUUCUAUAAUUAGAGUAAAAAGUAGAGAAAUGUUUGCUUCUCAUGAUGUGACAAGAAAAAAAAGGUUUGCUUCCAAUGUCUAUAAAAAAUAAUAAUCUUUAUUUUAGAAAAAAAGUAUGUGUGGAUUAAUUUACCUCUAAAAGUAUUAUUAUAAAGACAAAUAUAGUGAUACAUUGGAAAUGCUUUUUAGUGAUUACCUCGGAGACCAAGUCGAGGAGGGAAUCAGCCAACAAUGACCAGUAAUGGCAGCUCUCUCUAUAAAGAGGAUCAGAAGCAUUUCUGCCUAUGAAUAUGAGAACCAUCCGUCCAUUAGACACAACUUCUUCAGAACGCAUUUUUAAGAAUAACGAAAAGUCAUUUUGAAACUGAUCCAAGCAAUGUUUUUAAACCCGACCCGGAUACUGAACCGGACGACUUAUCGGGUUGCUGGAUCACUGGGUCGACCGCGGAUGAACCGCGGGUUAAAAAUGAAUUUAUUUUUUAUAUAAUAAUAUAUUAUCUAUGAAAAUAAAUACAUAAAAAGUUAAAAACUAAAGUUGAAUAUUUUCUAAAUGUUUUCUAAAACAUAAAAUAAUAGUUUGGAUAUGUAUAUAUUUUAUGUUUAAAAAGUAUUUAGAAAACACUUUACUUUAGUUUUUAUAUUUUUAUUUUCAUUUGACAUACAAAAUAUCAAAAAAUUGUUUAGACUAUUUAAAAUUUUAUGUAACAAAGUAAGAGUUAUGACAUCUGAAAAAAUCAAGAAAUAAAUAUUAUAAAUAUUUAAAUGUCUAAUGUGAAUAAUAAACUAAACUUCAAAUUCAAAAUAAACUAAAAGUUAAAGAUCAUUGUAAUAAAUUAUCAGUAACGGAAAUUAACUAACACCAAAUCACAUAAACUAAUUUUGGUUCUCUCUACCAUCGUUCACUUCAUUUUCUUCAAGUGGCAUAGUGAAAUCUUCAUUAAAAUUUAAAAAUCACAAUAUAAAACUGAAAAAGGAAAACCUAACUUUUUCUGACAGCACCUAACUUCUUAAUUGGAAACUUAGAAUAUAAAACUUAAUCUAAAACUAAAAAAAAAUUAUUUAUUGGUUCAACCGGUGGUUCAACCAGUAUCGGGUUCCGGGUUUUAGUGAGGUUUUGUGGGUUUUUGUGAGUUUUUGCGGGUUUCUAAAUAUUGGGUUUUUCACAAAAUCCAAACCGGAUUUUUUCUGAGUCACCGGGUUUAUCGGUUCAACCGCGGGUCCGGGUCGGGUUUCAAAACACUGGAUCCAAGUAACUUUUGGACACACUUAGAGGCCAAGGGUUUCUAAUAUACACAUUCUUCUUGUUAUCUUCAAGCCCUUCAGGGACCUUAGAGAGCCAAUGGAUACUACAAGCUAAAUGAACAAAGUGAAGAGGCAACCUGAUAUGGUGAAUCAACUCGUUUCUGCAAUGCUAGGUGCGGGAUAGCGGUGUGUACAGCUUGGUCUCUUGGAGCUCUCUUCGGUAAGAGUUACUUGGAACCUCCACUUCUAUUUACCGUAUAACGCUUAAUCGACAUGAAUGGUUAUAAGUAUGAGGAGUUCCUCGGAAGCUAGCUACGCCAAAGGCGACCCGGAAAGUCCUGGCAUCCGAGGCGACAAGGAGAACCUCACAUUUUCAGGGUUAUCGCCAAUGGUCGAGAACAGCAACUGAGUCUUACGGAUUCUUAGAACACAAUAGUGAAACGUGCCGGGUUCAGUGGGCGGGCGAAACUAGGAUGUAAUAGGUUGAUUUGGGAAUUUUGUUCAAAUCAUGCUUGUAACCGGAACUGAAUCCCGUUAUCGGGUUGAAUAAAAAAUUUAUUCAAAAGAAAAAAAAAAUACACAAAGUGAAGAGAUUUGCUUGGAAAUAGCCUCGAGUAAAAAGAACCGGGGACUCCUGAGACGAAGCACCUUCCCUUAACAUCCAUCUUUAGAUUCUCCUUGAAGGAAGUAGCACACUUAAAGGUCAUAUUGAAAUCAUUGUUUGGAAGAUCGUUUAGGCAACAAUCAAUUUCUGGUGGGGUUCGACUUGUUUCUUGGUACUGUAAGCUAUGAUCGUAUUGACGAUUCAAGACAUGGCCAAGAAAGUGUUUUGUCCAGAAGAACAGCCCAAUUCAGCCACUUUAAUGGAUUCAGGGAAACCCAAAUUCAGUAAAGUUUUUCUAAUAUUCUCUACCACAAUCGUUUGUGCUUUAGAGAAAACAGUUUUCUGAAAGUUAAAUAUACAAAUAUAACUGGUUAAAUCUUAUUAAAACAAAAUAUAUAUAUAGAUAAGACUUACCCUUACCUGUGAUUUACUAUUUAUAACAUUCAAAAUUUAACUAUUCAUAAACAUUUCUAUAAAAUUAUUUUGAUUAUUACUUAUAUAUUAGACCAUUUUAAUAGAAUACAACAUUAUAUAUGAGAUUAUUUUGCCACUAAAUAGAUUUUAACUUUUUUUUAAAUACUUCACAAUAAUAAAAUAUUAUAGAGAUCUUUUUAAAUUUUAUUUUUAAAUAAUUAAUUAAAUUUAUAGUCAUUAUUCAAAAACAUAACAUAAAUAUUAACUCUGCUUUAGUCUUAUAAAUAAAACAGCAUAUAAUACACAACUUAGAGAUACAUUAUACAUAUAGAAUCAUUUGAGUAUAAGAUAGAUUCGUUUAUCCUAAACCAUAUCCUAAUCAGGAAACUAAAAGUAACUGCUCAUAACGCACCACAAUAAGAUGAUUGGUAAUCAUACACAAAAAACACAACAUUACAUAUCUCAUCCCAUCAACUGGUAUUAAUGUAAUGCACUCCACAUUCUUUUAUCAUCCAUUCGUCACUGUCUACCCAAAACUCGUCAUGUUCGACCUCAAACUCAAAGCAAAGCUCGUCUGAAGUCACGUCUGCUUCGAGUUCAAAGAUGUACAGAUGUUCGUUCCGUUAAAGGACGAAACAGAACGAGUUCACUUCGAUUGCACGGGACAUCGAGGCUAUUCUGUUUGAUCCGAUGAUGUACAUACACCCUUUGACCUUUAGCAGCUUCAACCUCAUCUUUACUAACCAGCAAUAUGCAAGCCUUACAUAUCAUUGGUGAAGGGAAAGGCCUCUCAUUCAACUUUAUUACUAGGGAACCUCCAUUAGCUUGAUAAUUGAAGUAGUUAGGCAUUUCUUUACCGGGUAACAUCGUUAUAUAAUUAGUCGACGUCUGGAUGAUGACAUCUCUCGCUUCUUUAUUCAGUUUGAAGCAGUUGGCGAAGUUGAGAGCAAUCUUUUGAUUAAAAAAGGAGAAAUCUAGUGUCUCUAUACCCUCACAAUCUUCUGCGUCUAGCUCUGAUAAUGAACUUGGAAGCUGUGGGAGUGACAAAAGCUCCUUGCAUCCCUUGACUACAAGUUGACAAAGACGAGAGAUUCUCUUGAUCCAAGGAGAACUCUCUUGUACUUCUGUGUUGCUCAUGAGCAGACCUGUUAGGAUGUCAAGAACGUGAGGGAACUCCUUGAAGUUCUCGUAGUAUGACAGAUGCACGUCAUAUAUGCAAGACAAUUCAUCUAGACGAGACCACAACCUGAUAGAUGAAGGCACUUGUUUAUUCGCAGUUCCACUAAGAUACAUAGAUUUGAUGUUUGUUGAGAUCUCAGGAGAACUUUUCAUCAAGGAGCAAUCAGUGAUGUUGACAGGAAGAACCUCCAGCUUGCAACAUUCUUUCAAAAUCAAAGAGUAUAGUUUAUGGAGGUUUCCAAUAGAGGCAGGAAGUUCCACAAGACUUGAGCAUCUACUAAACUUCAAAUGCUUGAGAUUAGUGGUGUUUCCAAUAGAGGAAGGGACUCCCACUAAACUUGAGCAAUCACUUAAAUCCAAUUCCUCAAGGUUUCUUAUAUUACCAAAACAUGAGGGGAGCUCCACCAACCUUGAACAACUACGAAGAGACAGAAACUCGAGAUUAGUUGCAUUCCCAAUAGAGGAAGGAAGCUCUACCAAACUUGAACAUCCAGUGAGAUCCAACUUUUCGAGAUGAAUGGCAUUCCCAAUAGAGAAAGGGAGCUCUACCAAACUUGAACAUUCACCGAGAUGCAACUUCAUGAGAUGAAUGGCAUUCCCAAUAGAAGAUGGAAGCUCCACUAAACUUGAACAUCCUGUGAGAUCUAAUUCCUGUAGACUAGUGACAGUUGAGAGACUAGAAACAUCCUUCAAGUUUUUUGAAUCACUCAGAUCCACCCACUUGAGAUUCCUAAGCGGCUGACAGAAAAUAUCAACAAGAACACAUUUUUUAAAUGCUAUUAGUCUACUUUUUCAAGUUACAUAGCUGUAAAAAUCUGAUCAAUAAUAAUGAUAACAACUUUGUUAAAAACAUAUGAUAAUUCUUAUGUUACUUACUUUAGUUCCAUCCCACAACUUCUCAAGUUUGCUGCCAUACAUGAUUAGUUCCACGAGGAGCUCUGGGUUGGGAAUACAAUGCAAACAUGUCAUCGGAAAAUAGCUCCAAUCUAGUAAUCUAAGUUUACGAGAUAAAUAGCUUGGUUCACCAAAUAGAUGAAAUGCUUCUCCUCCACCAUCAGGUCCCACGUUUAAUCUUAAGAACUGGAGAUUAGACAUUACUUCAAAGGCUCUCUCACUCAUAUAUAUUUCGUCUCCACGGAAUAUUAUGCCAAUAACACUUCUACUACCCUGAAAACAGAGCCAAAAAUAAGGUAGAGAUGAUUGCAGUUUAUCAAACAGACUCAAUUUAUAACGAGAAGUAGUGCAAUAAAACACUAAUAGCAAAAAUUACCGCUGCAUCAUCAGCAAGUACUUCACAAAUCUCUCUGUUAUCGACCAAAAACUGGCGUUGUCCAGGCUCCGUGGACUGUUUGCGGACAAUAUCUCUACCUAGCUGGACUAGCAGAUCAUGCAUACUCACACGUUCACUUUCCAAAGAUAUGACAGACUUCUCAGCUAAGACGUUAAGCCGUUGCCUCACAUCAGUAAAUCUCUUUGAAAGAUGCUCUACCACUUUCUCUAUCCACUCAUUGUUGAAAAAGCAGGCUAUGUGAAGAAACAAAUCUUUAUUUUCAUGAGAUAGUGCGUUAUAACCGAACAUCAAAAUGCUCUCAAUUUCUCCAUCAAGGCACAUCCUUAGCCCUGGUAGUGCGUUUUCCCACUCCUCCUUCAACAUUCCUCGAAAAUAAGAUCCCAUAACCCUUAGUCCCAAUGGGAGUCUACCGGCGAGUCUUGUAACUUCCCGUACAAGUCUCUCAAAACCAUCUUCAGGGGACUUUUGACCAAAAGCAUACAUACAAAACAUCUGAAUAGCCUCACGAUCUGAUGGAAAAUCAACCUUGUAUAUUUGAGUGAUCCCAUGUGCCUUCAGAAUCUUUCGAUCUUGCGUCGUAAUGAUAAUCCGACUUCCAUGACCAAACCACCGAGUUUCUUUUGCCAUGGCUUCUAGUUGUACUAACCGAUCAACGUUAUCAAGAACAACAAGAACUUUCUUGUCACUCAGUCUUUCUCGUGCAACUCCCAAGUGAGAAAUCUUGAAAUCCUCCUCCUUCUCGUUGAUUAGUUGAGACAAAAGCUUUUGCUGCAAGUGCAACUUCACGUUGUAGUCGUCUGAACAAACCGGUGGAGUAUGCAUUGCUUUGACAUUCAUCAUAAAGACACUGUAUUGAAAUGUAUCUGAUAGUUGAUUAAACAGACACCUAGCAAUGGUGGUCUUGCCAAUCCCAGCCGGCCCCCAAAUCCCUAUCAUCCUCACUUCAUCCAAAUCUGUGCGUAAAACCGGCGAAAUCUUCUCCAUAUGAGCUUCCAUCCCAAUGAAUUCUUCGAAAUCUCUUGACGGCGUGGAGUUAAACAACUUGUUUGCAACCUCAGUGGCAACAUCUUCUAUCAUUUUUACAUCAUUAUCCCUUAUACAACAUAUUCAAAAUAUAUCAAAGUCAAUUAAAUUGUUCAAAGAUAGUUUAAUUUGUGUUUGGAAAGAUUUGACGAACCAGUUAUUUGAAUGGUAACCAGCGAGUGUGGCCACUUUUGCUAGAGCUUUACUCCAUUUUCCAAUAACCUCAUUUGUUUUACCUUUACAUGUUUCUUUAAAGACUUUCCAAAACUCACCAGCCUGCUUCUUGACAUCACUUGGAUCCACUUCAUAGAAAAUGGGCAUCACUGUUUGACCUAACUCUUCCUUACACUUCAUAAUCUCCACUAACUCGUCGAGACACCACGAUGAAGAAGCGUAUCUUUUCGAGAGCAACACAAUCGCAAUUCUUGAUCCUUGGAUUGCCUUCUUGAGCUCAGGGCCUAUAAACUCUCCUCUAGGGAUCUCUUUCUCAGUGAACAGGUUGAUUCCUUUGCUCCCAAGCUCCUUGAGAAAAUGACUGAGAAAGGAUUUACGGACAUCUGCUCCGUGGAAGCUCGGGAAGACAUCAUGUAUGCAGUUACGUGGCAAAGACGACUUUGGAGAUGGUGGAGAUGAAGAAGAGUAAGCAAUUAUUUUGUUUUCUUGGACUAUGAACUUUGCAUAAACAAUAGAAAAGAUUUUACUACACAAAAGCGUAAACAUGGUAGAAGCAACUGUCACAAGGAGAAGGUAAAGAUCCAUUACUACGCUAGAGAAAAGAUCUAUAGAUCAUAGAGACUCUGCGAGAUAGAGGGUAACGAUUUACAAAGAGGUUUUGUAUACCAUGUUAGACGUUAUUGACUAAGCUUAAAUGGAAAUAAAGUUAUAUUUUCCUAGAAAAUACUAUGUUAUUUCACAGAGAAAGCUAUCAUGUAGGUUCCACCAUUCUUGUAAGUUUUAUAAACCGAAGUUCUUGGAUAUUUCCUGUGCUUUGAAAAUGAAAUUUCCCUUUUAAUCAAUUUGAUCAGUCCGGUUUAAAAUGAGUUUUUUUUUUCCUUUUUCAAAUUGUCACUUGGAGAAGCUAUGGUUUGGUCAAUUUGCAUUAAAAUCAGUCCGGUUUAUUUCAUUAUUUUCCAUAAUCUUUUAUUUUAUUUUGGUUUUUAAAUAGUACAACUAGAUCCCGACUCGCGCAACCGUGCGGAUUUUUGUUUUCAUUUAUUUUUAUAUAAAUAUUUUAUUUUCAAUUCUAAAUUAGUAUAUAUUAUAAUAUAUGUGUCUAUCGAUUUCUAAAAACAUAAUAAGUUUACGGUAUAUUUUUUUCAUUGAAUAGAUUGUUUCAAACUUUCACAUGUAUUUGUAUCUUCUUAUAUAUAUAUUUUCGGAUUAUUAUUUCAUUAUUAAAAUCAUAAAUAUAUAUAAAGAUUAGUAAAAUAUUGUUUUAUUUUCAUAUUCAAAGAUAUUGUAACAUUUCACAAAUUUAGAAAGUUUUUAAAAAUUAAAGUUUCCGCUUCAUAGAUUUAUAUUAUUGAGUAAAUAAUUAAACAUUUAGUUUUGUUUAAUUUUUAAAAUAAACUAUAUAGUUUAAAAUUUGUUUUCAUUGGUUUAAGGUAGUAAAGAUUAAUCAUUGUUAGAUAAUAUGAUUUUGUUAUUUUAAAAAAAAUCUUUAUAAUUCUAAAAGUUAAGAUGUUAAAAUAUUUAACAUAUGGAGGUAUAGUAUUACAACAUUAAAUUAUAUAUAUUUAAUUUAUACUAUCUUUAAAUUCAAUGGAUCAUCUAUUCUUUAAAUUCAAUUAUUGAUAGCCUAAUAAAAAUUUCUGGUAACUUCAAAAUUUAAAUGAUAAGAUUAUAGAUUAAAUGUAACAUGACUUCUUAAGAAUAGAUCUAUUAGGUCCAUUUUUUAAAAAAUCACACAUGAAUCAAUGUUGUGACUUCUGUUUUAAUAUAUAAGAUAUCUGGUUUCAAUUAGGCAACAAGAUUUUUGACUAUCAUUCCAAAUUAAUGAUUUUGGUUCAAAUCAUCCAUGUUGAUGGUGGAUUGUGUAACAAGUUUGGUCUUGAGAGACCUCUUUGCUGUUCUUCCCAGCCUUAAUGCUGCUUUAAGUUGCUAUAACGAGAUUCAAUAAGAAAAACAACCUUGAUUUUUGAUAUCCAGAAAAUUGUGACUUGUGCAAGCUAGUGUUGUGAGCCUUGUGACGUUGUCCAGUCACGUUUAGAACAAACAUGGUUUAACACUUCAAAACAAAUAGUUAAUGAUACUAAAUAUGUCAAGAUCAGAUUAACAAAAGCUUUUAGUUUAACAAAUAGUUAGCUAGCAUAAUUUCUGAUGAUCCUGCUGUAAAACCAUUUUCGGUUCUCACAUGUCACUGCCACAGCAGCUUGUCCGACUCAAAGAAACUGAAAAAGACACUGGACUCUGAUCAUGAUCCACACCUUGUUUGCACUCUUGUUCCUCCUUACUUAGGUUGCGCCCCUAAGAUCCACAAAAAUAUAUACUGAAGCUAAGAGAGAUGGUUAUAAAUAGAUUACUAAAAGUUGAAAACAAAGAAGAUGUACCAAGGAGCAGAUGAAGUUGCUUUAAACUCAGACUCGAGAUUGUCAAGCUCUAUGCCAUUAUCUUUUGCAAAUGACUCCAUCUGACAUAUAUUUUGGUAGACAGCAUCCCUCUGCUCUUUUAGAGCCAAUUGUUGCCUCUCCAGCUCAAGAAUCCUGUGUUCCAUUUUCACCAAAAUCUUCUUUCAGAGCCAUUAUCUUUCUAUUGAAACCGUUUUGCUCCUCCAUUUUCUUUAGUUGUGUAUCUUUAAGAGCCACCAGUUUGUUGAUCCUUGCCAGGGGCGCUGAAACAUCGAAACCAUGUUUCUCUAGCUCGGCGAAGGAAACCUUGAGGCUAUCUAGUUGGCUCAUGGAAACGUCAGGUUCAAGAUCCUUAAAGUUCUCCAAUAACCUUAAAGUUCUUCACUUUCCCCAACCACUAGGCUUAAAUGAGGAUUUUGUGGUGGUGCUCUCUAGAAGACUUCCAUUGUUUCAAGUUCCUUCCAGAGAUGUGACUUUUUCGCAAAAGGCAAAACCAUGGUUGUGGCCUCAACACCAGGAGUAGAAGAACUAAGGUUAUGUUCUCUUUUCCUCUUUUGAUUGUUGUUAACUUCUCCGCUGCUCUCCUGCAACCAACCGUGAAACCAUUUAAAAGGAACCUUAGUUAGUGCAUACAAGUGCUUAGAAAGUAAGAGUGCCAAUGCUGAAGCAAAGAUAGAUUUAGCUUUACAUUCUCUUGUGUUGUAUGGUUUCCCAAGCCACUCUGAUCACUCACCGGCUGAACAGAGAUUUCCUCAGUUCCCGCAGAUCUGGCCGGGGAAGGGGCUAGAGAUGAAACUGAUUCAGUUGCUGAAAAACAAGAACAAGAACAUCCAUAUUACAUUUGCAGAUAAAUUGAACAAGAAUCAAGAACAUUCAUUUCAUCUGCUGUUACUAUAAUGGCACUGCACGUAUCAUUGAUUGAUCUCACUCAGCCUUUUUAUCCAACUCUUUGGUUAAGCAAACAAUGAGAGUUAAGACAUACCAGUUUCACUGAGCUCUUUCUCUCCAUUUUCCCCAGAGCUCAGAGACAUUUGAGGAGUGAUGGCAGCAUUUACUUCACUAGUGUUUUGCUGAAAAGGGAAACAACACAACACUCUGAGUUAUAAAUCAAACAAGAACCGCACACAAAGUUGACUGAAACCAGAGAAACUAACCAAGACCAGUGUGGUUAUUGACUCCCCUGAAGGCCUUAGAGCAUCGUGUUUGAACACCAAAGACUCGUUAGUAGCAUUCAAACACACAGUGUACCUAUUCUCACAGAGGAGACUCGUCACCGUCCCUGAACGCCAUCCCGGUUCAAGAAACACUUCAACAGACUCCAUCAAUCCAUAGCUUCUUUCAACAGAAACAUGGACUGGUGUGAGCCUAAUGCUGCUUAAACCAACGGUCCUGUUUGGUUUUGGUGUUUCACCAUCAUCCCAGCUAAUGUGCUUGAAAGGCUUGACAAUGAAACUCUUCUUAUCCCCCAUCACCUUAACAAUCACCGAUGGUACCCACACAUCAACCUCAUCAUCAUCAUCCGUGUCAUUCACUUCCACCAUGGUUCCACAGCUAAAUGUUAAUGUCUUAUAUAGAAAUCUCUUCAAUAACCCAAAAAAAAGAAAAUUAAGAAAUAAUGAGAAACCACAUAAACACACAAGAAAAGAAAAAAAGCACAACAAAGAAAGCUCGAACCUUCUUUCGUGGUCUGUCCCACACGUGACUCUGUCAAAAUGCUCUCUGAGCUGUUCUGUCUUGAUCUGGAACAGAUCCGGUGGUGAAUUGAAGUAAACCCAAGCUUUCUCAUGGUCUUAUCUUCUUGAAAAACACACCGGUCCACCACCCACCUCUCUGAGACGCCUCCACCACACACCCUUCCUUGAAAUCCACCUCCGUGAACAGAUUUUCCGGCGGAACCGGACGGAUAUACCUCCGGUAAGUGAUUUUCCGAGUAUUGGAGCCAUCGUCCGAUAGGAAAGACACAUGAAGCCUUAUGUUUCCAAAUACAGGCACAGAGGUUUCAAGAAUGGCUCUGAACCAAGACCCUUUAAGACCUUCUUCGUGUGAGGAGACUUCAAUCUCAUCGCCUUUCUUCAUUGGCAUUGUCGGAAAAUAGAAACCCUAGAACUGAGAGUGGGUGAACAGAGAGUCAUAACAAAAUAAAUAUCCUCUGGACUUAGACUUUAACUCCAGAUGCCCUCAUGAGAAAAAAACUAACCUUCAUAUCCCCUCUCUAUUCUCAAUACCCCCAUUGUCAUUGCAAAUACCAAAUUAGCCUCUCAUUUCUUUAAUAUAUUUCUUCCACCUCAUUAACUCAUUUAUUUCUUCACUUAAAUAAACCAACAACCAAGAUGGCCCACCAGAGACAACCUUAACCAAUCAGAGAAGACCUGGCCCACAUGUCUUCAAGUUUCCCUCUUUCUCCGCGUGAAGCUCUCCUUCCUCACUCUCCAUUGGCGAAUUUGAAGCUUCAUAAACAGGUUAUUCUUGUCCGUUUUUGAUGUUUUUUUUUGUGGAAUAGCAUUUAAAUGUUGUGUAUAUCAUGGGUAAUGUAAAAAAAGUAAGAAUUAAUGAAAGUUUUGAGAGAGUAAAAACGAGUCUGAAAACUGUGAAUAUAGAUUUCGGGUAUAUUUUAUGUCCGGUUUUGAUGAAAUUUUUGCUUGACUACUAUUAAAAAGAAGCGUAUAUCUCGCCUAGUAUUUAAAAAGAAAGAUCGAUGCAAAUUUUAAGAGAUUUAAAAAGAUUUUGAAAACUAUGUUUAUGGGUUUAUGGUAUAUUUUAUGUCCAUUUUCGAUGAUCUUUUGUAUGUAAUUUCAUUAAUAUGAAUUAUAUAUCAUGGGUAAUGUAAAAUCUGAACAAAAUCGUCCUAAAAUUUUCAUUAGCUAGUGCAAGGAUAAUUUCUGGGUAUUACUAUGAUAACUAAAGUUUACUAAGGUAAAAUUGUUUUACUAGUAAUACUAGUAUUACUAAGUAUAUUACUGAAAUGAAAUGAAAAAGUAUUAGUAAGAGAGUACAAGCUUCCUAAUAAUGGUAAUUAAAUUGUAAUAUAAUUAAAAUUCUAUUUUAUUUCAGGAAAAAUGCAAAAUCCACCUUGCACAAUCAUUUGUUUUGACUACGGGGGAUAUUAUAUUAAGGAUGGGGCCGAAAUGAAAUGGAUUUCGGGAGAUGGUGAAGGAGAAGAUGAAAUUCACACGAUUGUGUUUAAGGAAUCAGUGGAGGAGAUCACAUACUCUGCUUUGGUUGAGCGUAUUUGCAGAAAGAUAAAGGUAGAUGGAUAUAAGGUGGAAACGAAGAUUAGUUACUUUCCAAUGGUCUUGUAUUCAAACAAGCUAUCAUAUGUCUGGAAUGAUGAAGAUGUUUUUGGUUAUCUACUGCAAGUAAAUCAUGAGAAGUGUAGAAGUGUUCUACAUGUGGAGUUCAACAAAACGGUUCAAGAAGAGGAUGAUGAAGCUGAUGUCUAUGUCGGUCUAUCCGAUAGAGAGGCUACUGAUGGAGAGGCUACUGAUACAUGGGCUACUGAUAGAGUGGCUUGUGAAGCAGAUGGUGUGCUCACACUUUACGAUGACAUUGAAAUUCAUGGUAAUGUCACCGAAAGAGAUGCGAUUGUGAUUGAAGAUACAGAAGCAAGACCAUCAGUUGAAGUAACCCCAGCUGUCAAGGAACGGGAUGAUGGUAUGGAUUUGGCUGUAGGUCAAGAAUUUAGAACCAAGGAGGAAGCACAAGUUCAUAUUCAGACGGCUUCACAUCUGAAGUGUUUUGAGUAUGAUGUAAUUAAGUCGGACACUAAGAGAUAUGUGAUAAAAUGCCGAGCAGCCAAAGAAGGCUGCAAGUGGUAUGUGCGUGUUGCAAAGUUGAUGAAUUCAGAUAGUUGGACGGUUAGAAGUUACAUCAAACAGCAUAGAUGUUCUGUUGUUACUACAAGAACACUUCCUAAUAGAAGGAGAGGCACACCAGGAAUCGUUGCAGCUGUUUUGGCUCAAGAUUAUCCCGGUAGUUUAGACACACCAGCUCCCAACGCCUUGAUCCAGCUGGUUCAUCACAGGGUGGCUGUGAAAGUAUCAUACACAACGUCAUGGAGAGGAAAAAGAUUAGCUGCUAAUAAAGUGCGAGGAAGUCCAGAAGAGAGUUAUACUUUAUUAAAUUCUUAUAUGCACAUGCUAAAGCAGUCGAAUCCUGGCACAGUAGCUCGAGUGGUUGUGGAUGAGGCCCAAAAGUUUAAAUAUCUGUUUUUUGCUUUGGGAGCUAGCAUAGAAGGGUUUACCGCUAUGAGGAAAGUCCUCAUUGUCGAUGCAACACACCUGAAGAAUGUUUAUGGUGGAGUUCUAUUUGUUGCGACUGCUCAAGAUCCCGAUCAUCACCACUAUCCAAUUGCGUUUGGUAUUGCAGAUGGUGAGAAAGAGCAUAGUUGGGUGUGGUUUAUGGAACAGUUGAAAUCAGUGAUAUCUGAUGUUCCUGGAUUGGUGUUUCUUUCAGAUAGAAACAAAAGCUUGAUCAAGGCAGUAAGUCUAGUGUUCCCUCAGGCCGCUCAUGGUUAUUGUAUAUGGCAUUUGGCUCAGAAUGUUAAAGUACAUGUCCGUAACAACAGAGAAACUUGCACGUUUAAGUUUAUGGGCUGCGCACACGCUUAUACAGAGGCUGAGUUCUUGAACCUUUAUAAUGCUUUUCGCAUGAGGUAUCCUAGCGCAGCGGAGUAUCUUGACAAAAGUGUUGAAGAGAGGAAAUGGGCGAGAUGUUACUUUGAAGGAGAUAGGUACAAUGUUGACACCACCAAUUCAGUGGAAUCUUUUAAUGGUGUUAUUAGUGACGCGAGAAAGUUAAACAUACUACCAAUGUGUGAUUUCAUCAUUGGGAAAAUGGCUGAAUGGUUCAACAUACAUAGGAAGGAGGCAGCUGAAAUACCACCUGCACUAAAGCUUGUUCCUAUUGUGGAAGUGGAAAUGUCUAAAAUAUGUGUUGAUGCAGGGUUUCUUUCCGUUGUCGAGUUAAACAGCUUCCAUCUUGAGUACAGUGUCUCAGGAAGUGACGGGAAGCAUUAUACCGUUGAUAUGGCUAUGAUGACUUGUAGCUGUGAGCAAUUUGAUAAAGACAAAUACCCAUGUGUCCAUGCAGUAGCUGCUGCCACAUUUAUGACUGAUAAAGCGGGAAAGGAACUUCAUCUAUCUGAGUAUUGUUCUAAGUACUAUUUAGUGGAGCAAUGGGCUUUGGCUUAUCACAGGACAAUAUAUCCUGUUCCUCAUAUGUCUGAUUGGAUUAUACCUGAAGAAGUUAAAGCAAUGAAAGUGCUUCCUCCAGAUUAUGAAGUCAAAAAAGGAAAACCGCAGCAAACUCGAUUUCCAUCGGCAGGAGAAUCUCGUGGAAGAGGAAAAAGAGGCAAAGGGAGAGUCAGCGGCACAGGUAGAGCCAGCGGCACAGGCACCGCUAACGGCACAGGCACCGCUAACGGCACAGGCAGUACCAGUGGCGCUGGCAGUUCCAGCGGCACAGUCAGAGCGAGAGGAGGAGGUAUGGGAGCGUAUUUUGAAUGUGGAAUUGGUGCAGGUCCAGGUUUGGAUUACUGAGUUUACUAUGUUUUGUUUGGAUUACUGAGUUUACUGAGUUUACUAUGUUUUAUUUGGACUACUAGAUUUUCUGGAGUUACUAUAUGUUAUUUGGAAUACUAGAUUUUCUGGAAUUACUAUGUGUGAUUUGGACUACAUAUAUAUUAGUACGAGUAUUUAUGUUUAGUAUAUAGAACCCUUAUAUUUUUCAUGAGUAUUAUCAAUUCGUAGACUAUAUAUUUGAUAAAUAUAUAUAUUAAAACUAUUUUGAUUAUUAUUUUCAAUAGUUUAAGAAAAACCUAUUCAGUUUUCUAAAAAAUGUCCUGAACUUAUAUUGUUAGUGUGUGAAUGGUUAGACUAUAGCUAGGAAAAUCUAACAAAAUACAUAUUCCUGGAAAACUUCUGCUGCAAAUGUUUUCUUUGAUGAUAAUCAUAGUGUAAAAUCAUUGGUUUUACUAAAAAAAAUUUCAUAUUCUACGGAUUUAACUAGAAAAACCUAAAAAUUGCCAAAGAAUUACUAUGUGUAAGGUAGUAUUACUAACUCCUUGAAGAAUACCAAGAAUUACUAAGUGUAAUUUGAAUAUUAUAUUUAUGUAUAUACCGAUUGCACGUUUUACAUGAGUACAUUUAUUAACAUGUGCUAUGAAUAUAUUUAUGUAUAUACCGGUUGCACGUUUUACAUGAGUACAUUUAUUAACACGUUUUUGGCCUUAGUAAACCUAGUAGUAAGACCAGUUAUCCAUCUGAAUCAUUUUUGGACAUAGCCUAACUUGAAAACAGUUUCCAAACCUGUUUUUUAACAUCCAAAACACAUUAUACAACCAAGUUUAAACAUCCAAAAGCAUACCACAACCAAGUUUAAACACCCAAAAGCAUAUUACAUCCAAAAGCAUCCUACCAAGUUUUAAAGACUUCAAAUACAUAAAUAAUUUUCAGACGCCUACUUAACCUUUGUUUUACGCUUCUUCUUAGGCCCGUCAAUGUCUUCUGUCUUCACCUGCGUGUAGGGACUCUGCAGCCGCUGAGGUUUUCUCUUCUCCCUUGGCGUACGUGCAAUCACAGGUGCUGAUUCUUGACUCUGGGGCCGCUGAGGUUUUUUCUUCCCCCUUGGUUUGCCAUACAUCAUUAUCUUCUGUUUGCACCUAAGCUUGAACCCUGUCCUCACCUCAUUGGUUCCAUCUCUCCUCACCUCAGUGGUCCCAUCCGCCAUCUCCUCACUAGCCUUGUAAACGACCAAGGCCCACAUUUGCUUUUCUUCAUCAGUGUAUUUAUCACCCUCUUUCUCGACAACUGUCUCAGCCUCUUUCUCAACCACUUUAUCCGCCUCUUCCUCUGCUUCCUCAGCUUCCUCUGCUUCCAUAGCUUCCUCUGCUUCCUCUGCUUCCUCAGCUUCUUCUUCCACCAUUUCUUCAGCAUUUUUUUCGGUGGGACUCUCCUCCACAGCUUCUUCUUUCUCCACCAUUUCUUCAGCAAUUUUUUCGGUGGGACUCUCCUCCACACCUUCUUCUUCCUCCACCAUUUCUUCAGCUAUUUUCUCGGUGGGACUCUCCUCCACACCUUCUUCUUCCUCCACCAUUUCUUCAGCUAUUUUCUCGGUGGGACUCUCCUCCACACCUUCUUUUUCCUCCACCAUUUCUUCAGCAUUUUUUUCUUUGAGACUCUCCUCGUCACUUUCUUCGGCUUCAACUGCCAUCUCCUCACCCUCUUCCUCGAUAACUGUCUCAGCCUCUUUUUCAGUCUCGAUAGGUGAUGGCGCAGUUACCGUUGGUCCUCUUAAAAACUCCUCUGGUGGUGUAAGUACUAUUUUUCUCGCGGCCAAUCUCUUCGGUCUACCACGUGGUGGUGUAGGAGUUCCCUUGGCAACUUUCUCAGCCUCUUUCUCUAGAUACUCAGUCUCUUCAGAAAGAAUACUCUUCCAUAACGCAUCCGCCUCUACUCUCCUCUUCUCAGCCUCUUCCUCAGUAUCGUAAUCUUCUUCAGAGACCUCAUCUUUUUCUCUAGUUCCCAGCUCUGUUUUAUCAGCCUCGUUCUCCUUCUCUUCUUCUUCCUCCACGUUUCCCUUGUCUUUCUCACCAUCCUUACUGUUUUCCCCACCCGAGACCACAUCCUUUUCCUCGCCAGACUCACUGUUUUCCUUGUCUUCCUUAGCCUUCUCACUGUUUUCCUUCCCUUCAGCUCUACCAUAAUCUCUAUCAUCCCAUCCAAAAUCCAUAUCUUCACCAUAGUUCCUCUCCUCAUUUUUGUUGCUCUCAAUAGAAGUCAGCUUUUCUUCUAUUUUCUUAGCCCUUCUUUUAAGUUGUCGCUGGUUCUUUUCAAAUUUACUCAUCCUCACAUCCAUAUCACCCAGCUUUGCCUCCACCACUGAUUUAAGACCAGAAAACCCUUCACUCAUGGCCCCCAAAAUCUUUUCUUCCAGAGCUUUCAAGCUCUCCAACCCAGAUUUAGAAGACGAAUCUUCUAAAAACGUCACCUUUUCUUUGUCCUUCUUCUUCUUAAACACUCGUGCAGCAACAUCUAAGUCGUAUAGCUCUUUCCAAAAUAUCUUCUUCUGCUUCACAUUUAGCCAGUGGUUCCAAGUAUCACUUGUGCUUCCCUCACAAUGAUACUCUCGCUCCUCAUCAAUUAUACGAGCCAGCAUGAUUUCCUCACCCACAGUUGGCACCAACACACUGUUAAUAACCUGAAAAAAAAAUGAAAAAGGAAAAUCAGUUUAAAUUUUAUUAUAUUCUUCUAGUUUCUACUACAAAGUAUAUAUACAUAUACCUUUGUGUGUCCAAGUGCAGCAUAUAUAUCUUCCAAAGGAUAUCCCUUCAUGCUACUCUUUGUAAACCGGCUCUUGCACAUCCUAGGACAAUCUUCAGAAGGUGUGUCUUUAGAUAGUCGAAAUGUUUUCCCCAGCUUAGGAAUACAUUCAAAAGCCAAAAUCUACACAAAUAUUGUAGCGCUAUCAGAUUUACGGUUAUAAAACAACUCAUAUUUGACUAAAUUGUAUGCUUUACCUCUAAUGGAAUUAUGAAUCCAGGAAAGCCGCAUGCCGAGUGCACUUCACCCUUCAGAAGCUCCAUCAUAUGCUUGAUGUUCUUUAUUGCAUCUUCAAAUGUCAAACGACCCCAUGGAAAUGUUCUGCAAACAUCCAAAUCUUCCACGAUCCUUAAGAUGAACGGGUCUACUGGUCCGCAAUCCUUUGCCUGUCCUCUGAUAACCCGACCAAGGAAGAACAAGACAGCCAUCUUCAAUCUAUCAUUGCAUGGUGUCUUCAUAGACAACAGCUUGUGCUCCACAUCUGUUAUGGUGAUCUUCUUUAGUCCACCGAAGUAAUAAUCCACAAACUUCGUACUCCCGAGCUUCAAAUAUUUCCUCGAAUACUCAUGGCAGUCUAAGCCCGAGAUGAGGGCAUGCUCCCUCAUAGAAUAGCGGAUGGGAACACCAUUCACACCAAACCAUGCAACAUCUUCUUCUUCAGUCGAAAUGGUGCGCAAGAGUAACAUCCACAUUCCUUGGAGCUUCAGGUAUUGUUCAUCAGGCAUGUGGAAGAAGUGACGAAAUUGAGGAUGGGUUAUGAACCAUUUAACCUCCUCCUUAAGCUUCUUAAUCACGUCCACUGUAUUCUUCACAAGGCACUUGGUUUGAAUCUUGCAAGUCUUCGUGAACUCUGUGCUCUUGAAGCAUAAUUCAAGGGGCUGUGGUGGUUGCCUUGCCUGCAAUCAUAAUAUAUAUGUAUUAGUCAUUUGUUACUACUAAAAUUAGUAUACUUUCACACUGACAAUGAUUAAAACGAGUGCAAAAACUACCUUAGAUGAUACAGCAGACAUGUCAUCACUUUCUGAAUCAACAGAGAGAGAAACUACAGUCGUUUCUCUUGCCGGCUCAUUCCCAGCUGAGACCGCCUUUCUAGCUCUAGUUCUACUGGAGACUCCAACGCACGUAGUAGAUGGAUUCUUUCUUUUUCGGCCCUUCAUUUCCUGUACAAGAAAUUAGAAACGCUGUUAAAAACACAACAAGUCACUGUCAAUUACUCCAAAUGCAAACCGCAUAGCAAACAUCAAUUAUUACAUCUCAACAAUGUAAUACUCAAAGGAAACUACUCACUUACGAAAAGGAACGAAGAUGGAGACUAGAUUUCGUCGGAGAAAGAAGAAGAAACGAAGCAGUUCUCGACUCUAGAGAGUUGAGACCCGAGAAAUAAGAGGGAGAGAGGACGUCCACAGAGAGAUUGAUUGAUUCUCGAUUUAGACGGAGGAGGACGACGGAGAAAGCCACAAAGCACGGAGGCUAGGGUUUCGCGCAAUCGCAAGAGAGAAGCCGGAGAGGGACGAGACGGGAUUUAGAUUUAGGUGGAGAGGGAGAGAGACGAAACGCUUCGUUUAGAGAAUAGGAUCCGGUUCAGUUUGGUUGGGUCGGGUAGAGCAGGUCGGGUUGGUAAUAAGUUGGUUUCAUUAAGGUCCCUAGCGUCUUUAACCACGAUUUACCCGAUUUUAUAUUUAAAAAAAAAUAAAAAAUAUAUUAUUUUUUAUUACAGGGUGAAAUCAGCAUUUCUAAUGGAGCUAAUGGAGAGGGAGGGGCAUCUCGAGUUAAACUCCUCUGGACUUUGGUAUUAUUUUUUUUUUCAUUUUGGCGCGAUUUAAAUUAUUAUGAAAAAAAACAAAAAUUAACUAAUGGGCCUACGAUUGUUGGGCCUGGGCUUAGAAAUGAAAGUUAUAAAGAGCCUGAGGUGAAAUCUCUGUUCGAUGAGGCGGAAAGUGCCUUCGAGUCGCCAGUUCAUAUUCUGGUUAACUCCGCGGUGAAAUUGUAUGUGUUUUCUUGAUUAACAAUGUACACGUUACAAUGAAUAUAUACUAGAGGUCUCGUUCUGUACAAGGGAUAUAGUCAAGUAUCGAGAUCCAAGAAUAUAGGAGAUGAUGAGCAUGUCUGAAUUCGAACCAAAUGUGAUAUGUUCUGUCUGGCUAUUGAGUUAGAAACAUGAUUCCUUCCUGUACGUCAUUUCGACAUGAAUUUUUGAGUUUAAUCUUGCCUUGACGUUUGAUCAAAAAAAAAAAUCUUGCCUUGACGUUAAAGUUUUAGUUCAUUAGCUUGGUUAUGUCUGAAUUCGAACCAAAUGUGAUAUGUUCUGUGUUUUUUUUUUUUUUGAGUUAUAAAAAUGAUUCCUUUAGUCUCAUUUCAACUGGCAUUUCGUGUUUGAACCAUUGUUACAUAUCUGUACUUGAUCAAUCCGAAUACACUUUAAGUUCCAACGUUUUUGAGAUCUGAAAUUGUUAAAUUUUGAACCAAAUGAAACAUGUCCCGUGUUCUUGAGAUGUGUAUGUCUAAUCUCGAAUCAAAGGUUAAUGCUUUCAUCGGCUGGUACUUGUGUUCUUAAUCACUCUCUGUUUGACUUUUGUUUCUUAUGGAAUGGGUAGUGUCAAUACAAAAGGGGCGUUUCCUUGCAGCAAAGAAGCUGCUAAUAGGCUCAAACAAGGAGGCGGUGGUCGGAUCAUACUCCUCAAAUAAGAUAUUUAAUAGUCGGUUCUUAAUUUUUUUAGUUAAAAGUUAAGAGAAAAGUUCUUAUAUUCAGUUAAGAACCUCAUCCUAACCUCACCCUAAGAACCCCCAAUAAUCAUGCUCUACUUAUUUAUUGAGUAUCUAAGCAAUUAAGAAAAAUAAGAAAUUAAAGAAAUUAGGAAAGAGACAACAAAAGUAUCUAGAAAAAGAACUUUUAAGAAACUCUUAAAAGUUAAAAUGACAUUUUUCAAGUUAGUUUUUUUCUAAAAAUUAAAACUUAAUUCAUUAAUUAAACUUUGUUAAAAUAUUAGUUUUUUUGUACUUUAGAGCCUUACUUAAGAUAUUAUACCAACAAGGGUGCUCUUAGACACAUGCCCAUCUUUGGGUUUCACCGUGUAAGUUUGAUCGUAUUGUUUUUCUAUGUAAAUCUAAUUCUUUCGGGUUUCUUCCCAAUUCGAUAAUGACUUUCACCUCCUUUUAGGUCUUUGAUUCAUAUUUUAGGCUUAAAUUUCUAGGUCAGAAUUUACACUCCAACUCCAACAUUGAUUUUUUUAGAAAUUUGAUUUAAUUUUGUUAGAUAGCUAAUAAAAAUGCUUUAAAACUAACUAACUAAGUUACAUGAUGAGGAUAAACAAGAUCGCACUCUAUAAAAAAAAAAAAGAUCGCCCUCUAUAUAACAUUGUCUAGUGAUUGUUUUUCUUUAAUUGUGAGUAAACAUUAUAUAUUCAACAAGAUUCUUUUUUUUUCUUGUGCACACUCAACCAAAUGCUUAGAGCAUGAUUAACCAUGGAGACCCAUUAGGGUCUCUUAAUGAAUAUUUAAAUAAUAAAGUUAAGAUAAGAAAUUUUGUUAAGAGACAAUUAGUUUUAGUGCUCCAAUGCAAGAACUCAAUUAAGGGUUCUUAAAAAAGGUUAAAGAUUCUGAAGCCAAAUCUACAAUAUAGCAAGAAAAUUUAGGAGUCAUGAGGAUUACCUUCUCACUGCCAUGAACACCGCCGUCUUUAACCGAUGGUCUUAACACCACGUUUCCUUCUUCUCUUGUACGAUGGACGUACAGAGGAUGACGACGAUGAUUCCUCCACCAUUGAUGCAAUCGACUCCGUUUCUUCCUUUUCUUCCUCCUCUGUUUCUUGUUCUUCGGUUUCAUCUUCUUGAGUUUUGUCAAAUGUUCCGUACUAAGAGGAGAUAGAGUCAGCGUGAGGAACAUCUAACAUUACAGCUCGUCUCAAAGUUGCUUUAUACUCCAAGUUGUGUUCUCUUGCUAGUGAUUCUUCUCUCUCCAUCCUCUGCUUCUCUGGUAUCUCCAUUCUCUUCUCCUUCUCCAACAUUAGCUGCAUGCAGAUGCAAAGCUAUAGAAUCAGUAACCGGUGAAAGAUUUAAAGGAGGUUGGUGGGAGACUUACGUUCAGAGUGGAACACAUGUAUCUUUCAUGCAUCUUAUGCACAACAAACAUGGCAAACUGUCCACAUAAAAACAAAACUCAAACCCAUUACAAGUAAGCAGAGUAAUGGAACAAAACAAAAGGAACUUACAAAAACGCUUGGUAAGUGAAAGAGAACUUUCUAGAAUCAAAAUUGUACCAAAAGAGCAUGCAAAGAUAAAAAAAACUACAUUGUGAGAAUGUUGUGAGCCAUCUUUGAAAGUUUCUAAAAAAACAUACUUUCGUAAACCCUCUGCAUAUAGAGUUCAUGAUCAGUAUAUGAAGUAACACUCCUGAUUCAUGAAUAUAAUUCAUACCCAUACAAUAAA